GACAUAGGUCGCAAACGUUAUCCGGAAUUAUUGGGCGUAAAGGAUGCGUAGAUGGUUCAGUAAGUUACUGGUGGGAAAUCGAGGCCCAACCUCGUGGAAGUCAGUAAUACUGCGUGACUUGAGUACUGGAGAGGUGAGGGGAAUUCUCGGUGUAAGGGUGAAAUCUGUAGAUAUCGAGAGGAACACCAGUGGCGAAGGCGCCUCACUGGCCAGUUACUGACACUGAGCUGCGAAAGCAAGGGGAGCAAACAGG
rnacentral:rRNA from 1 species